rnacentral:lncRNA from 1 species
UUAAGGAGAGUUUAAACUCUGUUUUAAGCAGGAGACCAGAUAGAUUCUUUUGCAGAUAUCGGAAAUUUCAAACUUAUUAAAACUUUGUGAUUAAUGUUUUUUGUCUUUUAGAUUUAUUCAGUUAAUACAUACUAACAUCCCAGUAUUUUCUGUAUUAGGGAUUAAUUACAGGAACGCUCAGUAAAAUAAUACAAUUCUGAAAGAAGUUUUGAUGGUGGAAACUGAGAUUUUAACAGAGAACCAACUGUGUUUUACUGAGUGCCAAAAAAGCUUUGAGCUUCCUUGUACAAAGUUUAUAUAAUUUUUGCAUUUUUCACAUCAAUCCAGAUAGUCCCUUCCCCUAGGACCUCUCUGCCACUAAAAGACAAGCCACAUAGCUUAUUUUAUCCCAAAUUUUAAGAGUUAUUACAACCAAGUUAAUUCCAUUGGAUGAAAUGUAGACAGGUUCUAUAAAGACUAUAGAUUAAGUGAACUAGCUAAAAACAAAGUAUAUUUCAAACAUAUCCAAGCAGAGUUUAUGCAAACAACAUUAAAAAUAAGGAAAAAGGGGACAGGUAGUACUCAGAAGGCAAGGAACCAAAAAUUGAAUUAAAUUAUUACAUGGGAUGACUAGGAUAUGUUUCAAGUCAGUGAUAAUAUAGCUACUUCCAGGUACUUCAGUAUCAGAGAUCAGUUCCUAUUGGCCAAUUUCUAUGACCAACCGUCCUUGUCAUUGAAUGUGGUAUAACUGACUAUUGACUUGACAGGUUCAUUUGGCCAAUUGAGCAAUAUUUCCUUUAAUGACUAUUUUGGAGAAAAGAAAAAUAGGUUUAA